GCAGGCUAAGGGCUUGAAUAUACGAAAACAUCGCAUUCGUAAUGCGAAGGUCGUAGGUUCGACUCCUAUUAUCGCACCA
rnacentral:tRNA from 1 species